rnacentral:rRNA from 1 species
CAGGGGAGCCCUAGCACAGGUGCUGCAUGGCCGUCGUCAGCUCGUGCCGUGAGGUGUUCGGGUUAAGUCCCGCAACGAGCGCAACCCCCGCCGUUAGUUGCCAGCGGUUCGGCCGGGCACUCUAACGGGACUGCCCGCGAAAGCGGGAGGAAGGAGGGGACGACGUCUGGUCAGCAUGGCCCUUACGGCCUGGGCGACACACGUGCUACAAUGCCCACUACAAAGCGAUGCCACCCGGCAACGGGGAGCUAAUCGCAAAAAGGUGGGCCCAGUUCGGAUUGGGGUCUGCAACCCGACCCCAUGAAGCCGGAAUCGCUAGUAAUCGCGGAUCAGCCAUGCCGCGGUGAAUACGUUCCCGGGCCUU